UCCUUUGUGGCUCAGCUGGUAAAGAAUCCACCUGCAAUGUGGAAGACCUGGGUUCAAUCCCUGGAUUGGGAA
rnacentral:tRNA from 1 species